rnacentral:rRNA from 1 species
AUAUAUAACCAUAUUACCCUGCAGCCCAAGACUGGUUGCCCACUGAAGCUAAGCAGGGCUGAGCCUGGUCAGUACCUGGAUGGGAGACCUCUUGGGAAAACUAGGUUGCUGUUGGAA